rnacentral:rRNA from 1 species
GACGAACGCUGGCGGCGUGCUUAACACAUGCAAGUCGAACGGAAAGGCCCUGCUUUUGUGGGGUGCUCGAGUGGCGAACGGGUGAGUAACACGUGAGUAACCUGCCCUUGACUUUGGUAUAACUUCAGGAAACUGGGGCUAAUACCGGAUAGGAGCUCCUGCUGCAUGGUGGGGGUUGGAAAGUUUCGGCGGUUGGGGAUGGACUCGCGGCUUAUCAGCUUGUUGGUGGGGUAGUGGCUUACCAAGGCUUUGACGGGUAGCCGGCAUGAGAGGGUGACAGGCAACAUUGGGACUGAGAUACGGCCCAGACUCCUACGGGAGGCAGCAGUGGGGAAUAUUGCACAAUGGGCGGAAGCCUGAUGCAGCAACGCCGCGUGCGGGAUGACGGCCUUCGGGUUGUAAACCGAUUUCGACUGUGACGAAGCGUGAGUGACGGUAAUGGGUAAAGAAGCACCGGCUAACUACGUG